rnacentral:lncRNA from 1 species
AUUAGCGCGUUUGGAUAGUGGCCGGUCAGAGUACUAUGAGACUGAGGCUCGUGCACGAGUCGACUCCAUGUUUUUAUUCUUUCGUCUUUGAACAAAAACCACCACUCCCGGUCGGAAUAUUAUCACUUUUUUUACGAGAAAAAUUGCAUAAAAUUGAUUUUAAACAGCGGUUGACAUGCUUCGAAGAACGGUAAUGGAAUAUUUAGAAUUUUUUUGUCACGAAAACGCGUCGGGCGCGUAACCCUUCGUCACCCUUGGAUAGUGUCUUGAACGCACGAACAAAACGCCGCUAUUUGGAUAUAACUAUGGAUUAUUUUGAACCAAACCAACAUUUGUUGUUGAAGUAGCAGUCCUGGGAGUGCAUUCUGACGAAGAACACAAAAGGUUGAGAGGGAGUAAGAUCACUAGAAUACAGCAUGCGUUCAGACCACCACAGGACCCUAGAGUGCCAUCUGAGGUAACAAGCCAGGGCCAUCGGAGCUGCAGAUUUACUCAGCAGCAUACGUCACCACCGG